GUAAUCACUUUGUCAGCACAUAUACUAAAAUCGGAAUACUACAGAGAAACUUAUCACGGCCCCUGUGCAAGGAUGACACGCAAAUUCAUGAAGUGUUCCAUGUUUUU
ensembl:snRNA U6 U6 spliceosomal RNA